rnacentral:rRNA from 1 species
UGACAUGAGUAGCGAUAAAGCGGGUGAAAAGCCCGCUCGCCGAAAGCCCAAGGUUUCCUACGCAACGUUCAUCGGCGUAGGGUAAGUCGGCCCCUAAGGCGAGGCAGAAAUGCGUAGUCGAUGGGAAACAGGUUAAUAUUCCUGUACUUGAUUCAAAUGCGAUGUGGGGACGGAGAAGGUUAGGUUGGCAAGCUGUUGGAAUAGCUUGUUUAAGCCGGUAGGUGGAAGACUUAGGCAAAUCCGGGUUUUCUUAACACCGAGAAGUGAUGACGAGUGUCUACGGACACGAAGCAACCGAUACCACGCUUCCAGGAAAAGCCACUAAGCUUCAGUUUGAAUCGAACCGUACCGCAAACCGACACAGGUGGGCAGAUGAGAAUUCUAAGGCGCUUGAGAGAACUCGGGAGAAGGAACUCGGCAAAUUGAUACCGUAACUUCGGGAGAAGGUAUGCCCUCUAAGGUUAAGGACUUGCUCCGUAAGCCCCGGAGGGUCGCAGAGAAUAGGUGGCUGCGACUGUUUAUUAAAAACACAGCACUCUGCCAACACGAAAGUGGACGUAUAGGGUGUGACGCCUGCCCGGUGCCGGAAGGUUAAUUGAAGAUGUGCAAGCAUCGGAUCGAAGCCCCGGUAAACGGCGGCCGUAACUAUAACGGUCCUAAGGUAGCGAAAUUCCUUGUCGGGUAAGUUCCGACCCGCACGAAUGGCGUAACGAUGGCCACACUGUCUCCUCCCGAGACUCAGCGAAGUUGAAGUGGUUGUGAAGAUGCAAUCUACCCGCUGCUAGACGGAAAGACCCCGUGAACCUUUACUGUAGCUUUGCAUUGGACUUUGAAGUCACUUGUGUAGGAUAGGUGGGAGGCUUGGAAGCAGAGACGCCAGUCUCUGUGGAGUCGUCCUUGAAAUACCACCCUGGUGUCUUUGAGGUUCUAACCCAGACCCGUCAUCCGGGUCGGGGACCGUGCAUGGUAGGCAGUUUGACUGGGGCGGUCUCCUCCCAAAGCGUAACGGAGGAGUUCGAAGGUUACCUAGGUCCGGUCGGAAAUCGGACUGAUAGUGCAAUGGCAAAAGGUAGCUUAACUGCGAGACCGACAAGUCGGGCAGGUGCGAAAGCAGGACAUAGUGAUCCGGUGGUUCUGUAUGGAAGGGCCAUCGCUCAACGGAUAAAAGGUACUCCGGGGAUAACAGGCUGAUUCCGCCCAAGAGUUCAUAUCGACGGCGGAGUUUGGCACCUCGAUGUCGGCAUCACAUCCUGGGGCUGUAGUCGGUCCCAAGGGUAUGGCUGUUCGCCAUUUAAAGUGGUACGUGAGCUGGGUUUAAAACGUCGUGAGACAGUUUGGUCCCUAUCUGCAGUGGGCGUUGGAAGUUUGACGGGGGCUGCUCCUAGUACGAGAGGACCGGAGUGGACGAACCUCUGGUGUACCGGUUGUAACGCCAGUUGCAUAGCCGGGUAGCUAAGUUCGGAAGAGAUAAGCGCUGAAAGCAUCUAAGCGCGAAACUCGCCUGAAGAUGAGACUUCCCUUGCGGUUUAACCGCACUAAAGGGUCGUUCGAGACCAGGACGUUGAUAGGUGGGGUGUGGAAGCGCGGUAACGCGUGAAGCUAACCCAUACUAAUUGCCCGUGAGGCUUGACUCU